rnacentral:lncRNA from 1 species
AGUAUGAUUUUCAUUUUUUAUAAAGCUUCAAGCAACUAUUAUGUCAUUGUGCUUUGCUCAUUAAAUGUUUUGCGAACUUUUAAAAAAUGCUGAAUUCGGCAGCCGCUCUUGCACUUAAAAUAUAACGCGACUACUUUUUUCCGCAACUAUCAAUUUGCAAAGCGAAACUUUGAAGUGCAAGUGAUAUGUUUUAUUGUUACUAAUUAUAUAAUUUCAGGCGAUAACCUAAAAUCUCAUGAAGCUCAUAAAAGCCGUCGUUUAUGUUAAUUUCUUCCUGCGCAAAUUCUGUUUUAAUCUUCGCUGUGUUUUACGAAGAAUAUUUAGCAGAACUCGAGGUGGUUAACUACUGUGGAAGCUUGUUUCUAACGAUUCUGAUUUUUCUCGCAAUUCUGACAUUUUUCUUUGUAAUUUUUUUUUCACAACUUCAGGUUUAGAUCUCACAGUUCUUAAAAUCAGUAAAAAAAAACAAACUAGAAUUUGAUGUUUUUCUUGGAACAGAAACGUAAAUUGACUUUGCUAUCUCUCGAUUCUUUAGUUUAUAUCUCGUUAAUUGUGUUUUUUGUUUCCGCCAUGGAAUAAAAAAUAAAAAAAGUAAUUGCGGCUUUUUUAUCUUUUUGACUUUAUAUCUCGCAAUUCUGAAAUUCUUUGUCGCAGUUGCGAGUUUUAUAUAUUGCAAUUCUUCUCGGAAUUGUGAGGUUAUAUCUCGCAGUUCUUUCAGUUUUUAUUUAGUUUAUAAAAAGCCACAAUUACUUUAUUCUGUGGCAAAGCCGAAAAAAUCUUGCGAUUCUGAGUUUAUAUCUAAUAAUUGUCUUUUUUUUGUUUCUGCUACGGUAUACAAAGUAAAAAAAGAUAAUCGCAAUUGCAAGUUUAUAACUUACAGUUCUUUAGUUUAUAUCUUAGAUUAUAUAUUAAUUUAUUUUAAUAAAAAGCAGCAAUUACCUUUUUUUAUUCUGUGGCACAAAAAAAUAGAAUUGCGAGAUUAAAUUAUUUUGUUUAUAUCUCACAAUUGUGUUUUUUUUUACUUCUGUCAUGGAAUAAAAAAUAGUGUAAUUGCGACUUUCUGUCUCGUAAUUGAGUUAAUAUCUCACAAUUUUUUUUUUCUCAAAAUUGCGAGUUUAAAUCUCAUAAUUCUUUCGUUUCUAUCUCACAGUUCUUCCUUUUUACUCAGAAUUGUGAGAUAUAAACUCACAGUUGCAAGGAACAAAGUCUAAAUUGUGAGAUAAAAAGUCGCAGUUAACAUUUUUAUGUUUCAUAAACCGCCGUGUUUCGUCUUGCUCCGGUUCUGAAUGUUUUGAGCGUGUGGUUUCGGCAGUAUCUGCUGUCUUUUCUCCAGCAGCUUUGAUGCACUUUUAACUCGACCGGAUUCUGCACUUAUGGCCAGAACGCUUUCAGAUUCAGUGCCGCUUUUAUGGCUCUAAACCAUCCGUCCGAGAAUCAACCAAAGCGAGAUAAAGCGGUGUUAACGCUGCUCUCGUGUCAUUUUAUCAUUCUAUAUGUGAUCCAAAUAUAAAACAUGAAACAUAACUUCUAUCAUAUUGACGUGAGGUGAACACGCGUACCUGUAUUUGUAUCGUGUCAUCAGUAGUGGGUAGAAGCCACAAGGUUGAAAGUGUGACAAUCAAGUAGCGUUUUAUUUUUUCAUGUUUCAAUAUCCCUGAAAAAUAUGGACUCGAUGUUCUGUACAGCUUUUCAUAAAAACAAAUAAAUAUUUACCAUUAAAACUCAUCUGUCGUUUGAAAUGCAUUCAGAAGUAUUGUGUUUUAAUAAAGCAGUGUCAUUUUAGUACCAUUGCUAUAUUAGCUCAGUAUUUAUUCAUAUUUUGGAUGUAUUUAUUUAUUUAGAAUUUCC